rnacentral:rRNA from 1 species
GACGAACGCUGGCGGCGUGCUUAACACAUGCAAGUCGAGCGGUAAGGCCCUUUCGGGGGUACACGAGCGGCGAACGGGUGAGUAACACGUGGGUGACCUGCCCUCAGCUCUGGGAUAAGCCCGGGAAACUGGGUCUAAUACUGGAUAUGACUCCACGGUGCAUGCCGUGGGGUGGAAAGCCUUGUGCGGCUGAGGAUGGGCCCGCGGCCUAUCAGCUUGUUGGUGGGGUGANGGCCUACCAAGGCGACGACGGGUAGCCGGCCUGAGAGGGCGACCGGCCACACUGGGACUGAGACACGGCCCAGACUCCUACGGGAGGCAGCAGUGGGGAAUCUUGCGCAAUGGGCGAAAGCCUGACGCAGCGACGCCGCGU